CAACAACCACAGCUACAACAAGACGAGAAUCACAGGCAGCAACAACUGAACCUUCAACACCUCUGACAGAAACAGAAACUGGUUUUCUGUUGAGAAUGGUUGUUCGUCCGGUGAUUGUAUUUCUCUAUUUAAUCAUCAUGAUCAGCAUCACUGUCAACACCUGGAUAAAGGCUCAUCUCAUAGAAGCGACACAAAAUGAUCUCUGAUCCCCCAACAUUAGUCAUUUCUUAUACUUAUACUGUAACUUGUACUAUACCUGCUUUAACUUGUUCUUAUUUUGAAUCUUUAAUUGUAUCUAAAUGUAAUUGAUGUGUUGUGUCUGCAUUUUCUCUUGAAGUGUUUCUUGUUCUAUGUAAAUCACUCUGAAAUGUCUUUUUGCUGAAAUGUGACAUACAAAUGAACUGGCUUGCCCUAAACUCCUGAUAAUGUCUUCCUUGGAUG